CGUAGAAUAACAGCGUGCUCCAACUCCCAGUUAAAUAUGACCUUAAAUUCAAGGUCCAACCUUUGCUACUGCGUUAAGAGUCAGUAAAAGUUCUGUGCUGGAUUUAUGUGACCUGUCAGCCUGACCCAUCACCCUCAGUGGUCAGCAACAGUAGCACUGUUUUACAGAGGAUUCACACAAUCAAAUGUCUGUUUCACGAUGCAGCGCAAGAAAGACCAGAUGUUUCCUGUAGUUCUGGACCAGGCUUGCACUGCAGUAUGGGUUCUGGUCCACUCCUCCAGAGGAAGCGAAAGCAAAAGUUGAGACUCACUACAGAUUCUGAGAAAGUAGGGCAGAUUUGAGCCCAAGCACCAAAAGCCUAAGUGGAAACAGUCAAUGAACACAAACCAUGAAAUUAACUUUCAGGUUCUCAGCUCUGUUUAUGGGAAUCAUUAUGAGUCAAUCCAUCAAAGGAACAUCCCACUAUUUUCUACAUGGAGAUCUUGAGUAUGAAAACAUAUCAGUGUUAAUUUAUUGUCCUCUUAGGGCAAAUUUCCUUGCAGCA